UAAAAUGAAACUAUAAAUCAAUACCCCCUGAAAAAAAACUAUAUCAACAAUAUAAAUAUGUGGAUAUUGGAUAAAACACUUUUAAAUGAUGAAUGAGUAGAGAAACUAAAAAAUUCUUAGAACCAAAUAAGAAUAGUGCUAAGUCAGAACUUCAGAGACACUAUUAAGGUGAGUCUAAGAAGAACGUUUAUAAUUAUGAUUGACUACAUAAGAAAAUCAUAAAUAUCUCACAUAAACAACAUAAUGAUGAUGGAAGGUCUCAAAGUGCUGGAAAUUCAAGAAACAACCAAUUAAAAAAUUACUAGAAGAAAGGAAGAAUAGGAAUCAUGGCCAAAAUCAAUGAAAUAUAGAAAAUAUAAUACAAAUGGUCAACAAAACAAAGAGUUGGUUCUUUUAAAAGACAAAAGCACUGAUAACCCUUAGCCAAAUUAACAAAAUAAAAGAAAAGACUCAAAUUAAUAUAUAUUUUUUAAAAUUAAUAAUAUUUAAAAUGAAAAAGGAGAAAUCACCAUGACAUCAGAAAUCCAGGGGAUUAAUAAGUACUAUUUUGAAAAUAUACUCAAAUAAAUUGAAAAAACUAGAAGAAAUGGACACAUUUCUACACACAUAUGUCCUACCAAAUUUGAAUCAAGAAGAGAUAAAAAAAAUCUUAACAGAGCAAUAAUUAGCAAUGAAAUAGAAGCAGAAAAAACAAAAACAAACAAACAAACAACAACAACAACAAAAACAGUCCAGAUGGAUUCUCAUCUAAAUUCUACUAGACCAUUAAGAAAAACUAAUGCCAGUGGUCCUCAAACUUUUUCAUAAAAUUGAAUGGGGUGAAACACUUCCAAAUUCAUUCUAAGAGCCAGUACAAUCCUGAUAUCAAAACCAGAUAAGAAUACAUCAAGGAGCCAGGCAUGGUUGAGGUAUACCUAUAAUCCCAGUGGUUUGGGAACCUGAGGCAGGAGGAUCACAAGUUCAAAGCCAGCCUCAGCAAAAACGAGGCACUAAGCAACUUAGUGAGACCCUGUCUCUAAAUAAAAUACAAAAUAGGGCUGGUGAUGUGGGUCAGUGGUUGAGUGCCCCUGAGUUCAAUCCCCAUUAUUGUCCCCGCCCCGCCCCCCCCAAAAAAGGAAUACAUCAAGGAAAGAAAACUACAUACAAAUAUUCCUGAUUAACUUAAUACAAAGUCCUUAAUAAAACAUUACAAACAAUAUUCAACCACGUAUUAAAAAGAGUGUACAUCAUGAUCAAGUUGGUUUUAUUCCAGGGUUGCAAUUUUGGUUUAACAUUCAUAAAUUAAUAAAUGUAAUUCACCAUAUACAUAGAAUUAUGACAAAUAUCACAUAGUGUUUAAAUAGAUGCAAAGAAAAAUUUUGACAAAACUUAGUAUUUAUUUAUGAUAAAGUCACUGAAGAAAUUAGUGAGAAAAAAACUUAUCUCAACAUCAUAAAUGCUAUUUAUGACAAACUCAAAGUCAGGAUCAUAGUAAAUGUGGGAAAACAGAAAGCCGUUCCUCUAAAAUCCAGAACAAGACAAAGACAUUCAUUCUCACGUGUCCUUUACAGUAUAGUACUAAAGAUUCUAGUCAGAGCAGUUAGGUAAGAGAAGGAAAUUAGAGGAGUAAAAAUAGGAAAGAAAAAAUUCAAAUUAUUAUGUUUGCCCAUGAUAUAAUCCUACACUUAGAAGAUCCACCAGAAGACUACUAGAGCUAAUAAACACAUUCAUCAAAGUAGUAUAAUACAAAAUUAACAUACAAAAAUAAAUAGCUUUUUCUAUAUAUGGAUGAAAACAGGAAAGAAAGAAAACAGGAAACCAAUCCCAUUCCCAACAGCCUAAAAAUUUCACUAAGAAUAAGUCUAACCAAGGAGGUGGAAGACCUCUCCAAUAAAAAAAUACAGAACACUAAAGAAAGAAAUACAAGACACAAGAAGAUGGAAAGACCUCCCAUGUUCUUUAAUAGACUCAAUUAAUAUUAUUAAAAUGGCUAUAUUACCAAAAAGCAAUACACUGGUUCAAUGCAAUCACUAUCAAAAUAUCAAUGAUGCACUUCACAGAACUAGAAAAAGGGGUCCUAAAACUCAUUUGGAAGAAUAAAAGACCCAGAAUAGCCAAAGCAUUUCUAAACCAAUCGCAUAAUGCUAGAUGUAUCACAAUACCUGAAUUCAGUGAUACUGCAGAGCAAUAGUAAUAAAAAAAUAUGUAAAACAUGCAUAAAACAGUUACAUAGGUGAAACAGAAUAGAAGACAUGGAGAAAAACCCACCAGAUAGAGUCAUCUGAUCCUUGAGAAAUGUGUCAAAAACAUACAUUGGAGAAAAGAUAGCCUUUUUAAUAAGUGGUGCUGGGAAAACUGGUUAUCCUUAUAUAGGAGAAUAAGACUAGACUCUUAUCUCCCUGCCAGCAGAAAAAUAAUCUCAAAUGGAUCAAAACCUAAUAAUUAGACCAUAAACUAUGCAAAUCCUUAAAAACAUAGAACCAACACUCUACUUUUAAGUGCAGGCAACAUCCUUCAAUAGAGGAUUAUUAAAGCUCAGGAAAUAAUAUCAAGAAUUAAAUAAUGGGAUGGAAUUAAAUGACAAAAUCUUCUGAACAGCAAAGGAAACAGGAAUGUGAAGAGGGAACAUACAGAAAAUGGGAGAAAAUCUACUGGCUACUCUUUUGACAGAGGAUUAACAUCUAGAAUAUACAAAGAACUCCAAAAACUUUAAACCAAACAAAUAAAUCAUCUAAUUAAUAAAUGGAAAAUUGAAAUACACAGGACACUUCUUAAAAGAAGAAAUACAAAUGGCCAAGAAAUUUAUUUUAAAAAGUGUUCAAAAUUGUUAGUAAUAAGGACAAUGCAAAGCAAAACUACACUGAGAUUUCACUUCACUCCAGUUAUAAUGGAAGCUAUCCAAGAAUACAAACAGUAAUAAAUGCUGAAGAGAAUGUGGAGGAAAAGAAACACCUUUAUACUUUUGGUGGGACUGUAAAUUAUUAACCACUAGGAAAAUCAGUAUGGAGUUUCCUCAAAAGACUAGAAAUGGAACCACUAUAUGACCCAAUUCUACCACUUUUCAGUAUUUAUCCUAAAGAAUUAAAUUUAGCAUACUAUAUAUAAUCAUGGUUAUAACAGCAGGAUUCACAAUAGCCAAACUAUGGAACCAAAGUGUCCACCAAUUUAAUAAAUGGAUAAAGAAAAUGUGGUAUAGAUACACAGUAAAAUUUUAUUCACCCAUAAAGAAGAAUAAAAUUCUUUUAUUUUCAGUGAUAUGGAUGGAACUAGAGAACAUUGUGUUAAGAGAAGUAAGCCGAACUUAGGAAGUCAAGAGUUGUAUAUAGUCUCUCAAAUGUGGAAACUAAAGAGAGAAAUGUACAAAAAAUUGUUGGUGAGGAUCUCAUAAAAAUUGAAGUGAGAUCAGUUUAACAGAGGAAAGAAACAAGAGUGAGUCAGGAAGGGAGGGAAAGGGGAAAUACCAGGGAAUGGUAUUGGGCAGAUUAUAUUGCUACAUUGUGUUCCUCUACAAAUAUGUAACAAUGAAUCCCAUCAUAAUUAUGAUACACCAAUAAAAAUAUGGGGAAAAAAGACAACAUGAAUGUUUAUAGUUGAUCUAUUUAUUGUCAGUAUAAAAUAGAA
rnacentral:lncRNA from 1 species